AACGUGAAGCCAGAGCUUGCUCUGGUGGAAAGUAGCAGACGGGUGAGUAACGCGUGGGAAUUUACCCAGUGGUACGGAAUAACUCAGGGAAACGUGAGCUAAUACCGUAUACGCCCUUCGGGGGAAAGAUUUAUCGCCAUUGGAUGAGCCCGCGUCGGAUUAGCUAGUUGGUGGGGUAAUGGCCUACCAAGGCGACGAUCCGUAGCUGGUCUGAGAGGAUGAUCAGCCACACUGGGACUGAGACACGGCCCAGACUCCUACGGGAGGCAGCAGUGGGGAAUAUUGCACAACGGGCGCAAGCCUGAUGCAGCCAUGCCGCGUGAGUGAAGAAGGCCUUAGGGUUGUAAAACUCUUUCGCCGGUGAAGAUAAUGACGGUAACCGGUAAAGAAGCCCCGGCUAACUCCGUGCUAGCAGCCGCGGUAAUACGGAGGGGGCUAGCGUUGUUCGGAAUUACUGGGCAUAAAGCGCACGUAGGCGGACUGGUCAGUUGGGGGUGAAAGCCCAAGGCUCAACCUUGGAACUGCCCUCAAUACUACCAGUCUUGAGUCCGGGAGAGGUGAGUGGAAUUCCUAGUGUAGAGGUGAAAUUCGUAGAUAUUAGGAAGAACACCAGUGGCGAAGGCGGCUCACUGGCCCGG
rnacentral:rRNA from 1 species